UUGACAUUUCGCCGAAUGGCUUUAGGCAGAGCCUGAAACUGGCAGCAACGAAAAGUCUGGUGACUAAUCUAAACAUUCAAGACCUGUGUGUGCUGUCACAGGACGGUUAACACUGGAAUAAAUGUGUUUAUUUAUUUCAGUUUGCGCCUUGUUUGUUUGUAUUUAUACUGGGAAUGUUUGUUUCUCUAAAACGAGAAUUAGACCGAGGGAUGUCGGAAAAGGAAUGCAAGCACUAUAUGAAGGCUAAAACAAUUGAAAUGCUUUUAGCAUUACAGUUUAGUUGAUCUAGUAUAAGUGAACAUUAAUAGAACUAAUGAAAAAAAAAAGUAUUUUUAGGUAAAUUGUAAAAAGGAGUGCACUCUACUUGGAAAAUAAAUGUAUUCAAGACUAAUUGGAGAGAAAUAAAGGAUGUGUCAAAUGGAAGCCGUCACCCGAUUGUUAUAAUCACUGGAAGACGCAACAGAUAUUUUUUUUAUCUUGAUUUCAUUUCCAUCUCAUUAUUUAGGCUACUGACUGCCGGUGUUGUACUGACUGAGAUAUAACUUUGUGUACAUGUUUUUACUGCGAUUGAAACACGGUUUAAAACAAUGUGUCAUAGUUGAGAACAAAUAAAACUUUUAAAAUGUUUAGGAUUCGUCGUACCACGGCUUUAUGUAUAUGACUCCCAGGAAGCACUUUAAAAAUAUUUAGAGUUUGUAUAACCAUAGCUUUUGUUCGUGCAUAUGAUUCACACGAAGCACUUUUAAAAAUGAUAUUUAUUUCUUCCUUUUAACUUUCUCAAGACAAUUUUAUGAAAAAUUUAUAUUUUACAAUUUAAUAGCACAAACAAGACAUAUAACCUAACUUACUAGCAGCUUAUCAACAGCUUGCAAAAUAUUUUAAAGUUUAUAUUUUUAGACACUUUUUUUUAGUAUCUGUUACGUGCACCCGUGACAUUUACCGGUCAUACAAGAGGCUGUCAACACGGUAGACAACUUAUCUUAUGAACUGAUAAUGGGACACGUUGCUUGUGGGCUGCUGGGUCACAGGUCACUGCAUUUAUGUUAGUUCUCAACCAUCUUCAUAGCAGUAGAAAUAGUAGAAACCUAGAUAUACACAGCUAAUCAGCUUUAGGGAUUUUCACACUAAAAGUUAAUCACAGUAAUCUGCUCUUUGUUUACACUUUGUUAAGGUCCCUUUUACGUUCAUUAAGCAAUAACAUGGGACACUUAAGAUCCUCUUCCUAAAUAAAAAGUGCAAGCGAUAUGAAGACAUGUGAUGGUGACAUAUUGAAGACUUAUAAAAAACGUAAGAUGAAAAGAGGACAAUUAGGAGAGAUUUGAAAUCAAUUAACAAAAUAAUGUCAAGGACGCUCCAUUGAAAGAUCACUGUAGCCAAUUUAAUCGAAAGAAUUAAGAACAUUAAUUCUACAGUGCUGAAAAGCACAGAAAAAGAAAAGUUGUGUUUUUUCUACUACGUGAUACGUCUAUAUCAACACUUGUUCUGUAAACAGAAUAUACCAGAGAAAAAAUAAUUUCUAGCGGCACUGUAUUUAUGGACUUGCCUCCAGCCAACGUUGAACCCAGCGUCUUCUGCUUCCGUGCCACUCGGAAUUAUCGAUCGCAUACGCACUUUGACCUUUUAGUAGGAGACAAUUCAUAAAGCAUAAAGGAGGACAUGUGGCAUUACUUGCUUUCUGACACCUUCCCUCUUUGGUUUGAGGAUAGAAAUACCUAUGCUUGAAAGAGAGGUUAGGUUUUUGUGUCUUUUAAAAUAAACCAUUUUAGUAAAACAAUUACAGUACAAACACAAAACUUCAAAAAUUUAAAAAACAAAAUUGAUCACAUGAAUUCAAUUAUAAACAAAACAAUUGUUGACAUUUCAGGUUAAUUUAAUAGUUAUUAAAUAAUUCUAUAAAAAAAAAAAAAUCAGCACUGUUAACUUAAAAUUUGAAUAAUUUGUCGAGCUCUCUCUUCUUUGUCUACAUUAGAUGAAUCUGUAAAAAUAAUUAUAAAGAAAGAUAAUAAUAAGCAAAGCAAUGUUUUGAUUUGGUCUGUGUCAGAUAGAGGAGAUGCAAUUAUUUUAAGGUAAUAAUGUCAACAGUGUUAUAAAAAAUUAUUAAUUUUCUUUAAUGGACUAUUUGGAAUGUCAUUUUGAACAAAAACUAAGCAAUAACAGCCAUAAGGAAAAGAAAUUAAUAAAUACCAGUGUCUUGUUUAUCAUUGUUUAUUAUCUUUUCAGCAUCUUCUUUGGUUUUUUCCCUUGAUUUCCCAUUCAGGCCUUCAAGAUACAGAAGCAUGACAUCAAAGUCUCCAUCAUUUAAC